UACGUAGGGUGCAGGCGUUAAUCGGAAUUACUGGGCGUAAAGCGUGCGCAGGCGGUCUCUUAAGACAGGUGUGAAAUCCCCGGGCUUAACCUGGGAACUGCAUUUGUGACUGCAUGGCUGGAGUGCGGCAGAGGGGGAUGGAAUUCCUGGUGUAGCGGUGAAAUGCGCAGAUAUCAGGAAGAACACCAAUGGCGAAGGCAGCUCUCUGGGACGGUACUGACGCUGAGACGCGAAAGCGUGGGGAGCGAACAGG
rnacentral:rRNA from 1 species